rnacentral:Y_RNA from 13 species
AGCUGGUCCGAAGGUAGUGAGUUACCACAAUUGAUUGUUCACAGUUACAGAUUGAACUCCUUGUUCUACUCUUUCCCUCCUUCUCACUACUGCACUUGACUAGUCUUUA